rnacentral:rRNA from 1 species
UGAGGAAUAUUGGUCAAUGGGCGGGAGCCUGAACCAGCCAAGCCGCGUGAGGGAUGAAGGCCCUAUGGGUCGUAAACCUCUUUUGUCAGGGAACAAAAGCGAGUAUGUAUACUAGUCUGAGUGUACCUGAAGAAAAAGCAUCGGCUAACUCCGUGCCAGCAGCCGCGGUAAUACGGAGGAUGCGAGCGUUAUCCGGAUUUAUUGGGGUUAAAGGGUGCGUAGGCGGCGAUGCAAGUCAGCGGUAAAAGCCCGGGGCUCAACCCCGGCGAGCCGUUGAAACUGCAGUGCUAGAGAAGGCGAGAGGUACGCGGAAUGCGCAGUGUAGCGGUGAAAUGCUUAGAUAUUGCGCAGAACUCCGAUUGCGAAGGCAGCGUACUGGCGCCUGACUGACGCUGAGGCACGAAAGCGUGGGGAUCGAACAGGAUUAGAUACC